GUAGGUGACCAGCGUUGUCCGGAUUUACUGGGCGUAAAGAGCGCGCAGGCGGUCGUUCAAGUCGAGUGUGAAAGCCCCCGGCUCAACUGGGGAGGGUCACUUGAUACUGAUCGACUCGAAGGCAGGAGAGGGAAGCGGAAUUCCCGGUGUAGUGGUGAAAUGCGUAGAUAUCGGGAGGAACACCAGUGGCGAAGGCGGCUUCCUGGCCUGUUCUUGACGCUGAGGCGCGAAAGCUAGGGGAGCAAACGGGAUUAGAUACCCCGGUAGUCCUAGCCGUAAACGAUGGACACUAGGUGUUGGUGGUAUCAACCCCACCAGUGCCGAAGCUAACGCAUUAAGUGUCCCGCCUGGGGAGUACGGCCGCAAGGCUAAA
rnacentral:rRNA from 1 species